rnacentral:rRNA from 1 species
CCUACGGGUGGCAGCAGUGGGGGAUAUUGCACAAUGGGGGAAACCCUGAUGCAGCGACGCCGCGUGGGUGAAGAAGCGCCUCGGCGCGUAAAGCUCUGUCAGCAGGGAAGUAAAUUACGGUACCUGUAGUAGAAGCCACGUCUAACUACAUACCAGCAGCCGCGGUAAUACGGAGGGGGCAAGCGUGAUCCGGAUUUACUGGGUGUAAAGGGGGCGCAGACGGCGAUGCAAGCCAGGAGUGAAAGCCCGGGGCCCAACCCCGGGACUGCUGUUGGAACUGCGUGGCUAGAGUGCAGGAGGGGCAGGCGGAAUUCCUGGUGUAGCGGUGAAAUGCGUAGAUAUCAGGAGGAACACCGGUGGCGAAGGCGGCCUGCUGGACUGCAACGGACGUUGAGGCCCGAAAGCGUGGGGAGCAAACAGGAUUAGAUACCCCAGUAGUC